rnacentral:rRNA from 1 species
UACAUACCGCCCGUCACACCAUGGGAGUGGGUUGCACCAGAAGUAGCUAGUCUAACCUUCGGGAGGACGGUUACCACGGUGUGAUUCAUGACUGGGGUGAAGUCGUAACAAGGUACCC